rnacentral:misc_RNA from 1 species
CACAAUAAAAUUUUGCAAUUCUCUUUGAACAAAAACUCUUCUCUUUUCUUCGUCUCCUCAAACGGGCGCGGCUAGGUGACUCAACAUUUUGGCAUUUCCAAUCGAAUUUCUGUUUUCAUGGAUUCACAGUCUGAUUCGCAAGUUAUAAGGAGGAGAAAAGGACCGGCGUUUGAAUAUUUGGUUCCGCUUAUUUAUGCACCGGCUCUUCCUCUCAUUAGGAUAGCACUGAGGCACAAGCCAGUUCUUAGGGAUCGUUUGUUCUAUGGUGUCUUGGCUGGUGCAUUUGCUCAUGGAACUUAUUUAGUUACAGAUCUAUAUGAUGCUGAGAGCAAGUGAUGGAUAUUCUGACCUGGAGAUACCUCUACUACAGCAAUUUUCCCUGUGCUCAAACAAGAUGCAACUUGAUAUUCUGAUGACAUUUCUUAUACUACUAUAUUUUCAUGCGAUCGUGCUUCUAUCCUUUGGUGAGGGGUAGACUAAAUACACAUUUAAACAUUUUGCUCUUUUGAAUCAGUACUUUGUUUGAGAAUGUUUCUGAAACAUAUGUAGCUGUUGUAACCAAGGAAUCCCCGUAGUUGCUCAAGUUUUCAUCGAUAGGUUCCCUUAAAUUCGAAUGAUCUACCAUAUCUGUAAUGCAUUUCUUAAUUUUUUUUAGUUUGGGUGCACAUGACACACCUUAGACUUGACAAGACUCCUAGACUGGCUCGUUUGUAAAGG